GGUUUAAUUCGAUGAUACGCGAGGAACCUUACCCGGGCUUAAAUUGCAGUGGAAUGAUGUGGAAACAUGUCAGUGAGCAAUCACCGCUGUGAAGGUGCUGCAUGGUUGUCGUCAGCUCGUGCCGUGAGGUGUCGGCUUAAGUGCCAUAACGAGCGCAACCCUUAUCUUCAGUUACUAACAGGUCAUGCUGAGGACUCUGGAGAGACUGCCGUCGUAAGAUGUGAGGAAGGUGGGGAUGACGUCAAAUCAGCACGGCCCUUACGUCCGGGGCUACACACGUGUUA
rnacentral:rRNA from 1 species